rnacentral:rRNA from 1 species
AUUGAACGCUGGCGGCAGGCCUAACACAUGCAAGUCGAGCGGAUGAAGGGAGCUUGCUCCUGGAUUCAGCGGCGGACGGGUGAGUAAUGCCUAGGAAUCUGCCUGGUAGUGGGGGAUAACGUCCGGAAACGGGCGCUAAUACCGCAUACGCACUGAGGGAGAAAGUGGGGGAUCUUCGGACCUCACGCUAUCAGAUGAGCCUAGGUCGGAUUAGCUAGUUGGUGGGGUAAAGGCCUACCAAGGCGACGAUCCGUAACUGGUCUGAGAGGAUGAUCAGUCACACUGGAACUGAGACACGGUCCAGACUCCUACGGGAGGCAGCAGUAGGGAAUAUUGGACAAUGGGCGAAAGCCUGAUCCAGCCAUGCCGCGUGUGUGAAGAAGGUCUUCGGAUUGUAAAGCACUUUAAGUUGGGAGGAAGGGCAGUAAGUUAAUACCUUGCUGUUUUGACGUUACCAACAGAAUAAGCACCGGCUAACUUCGUG